CAGGUUGAUAGGUUCGAGGUGGAAGCAUGGUGACAUGUGGAGCUGACGAAUACUAAUAGAUCGAGGACUUAACCAUAUAA
rnacentral:rRNA from 1 species